rnacentral:rRNA from 1 species
GAUCAUGGCUCAGGAUGAACGCUAGCGGCAGGCUUAACACAUGCAAGUCGAGGGGCAGCAUGGUCUUAGCUUGCUAAGGCCGAUGGCGACCGGCGCACGGGUGAGUAACACGUAUCCAACCUGCCGUCUACUCUUGGACAGCCUUCUGAAAGGAAGAUUAAUACAAGAUGGCAUCAUGAGUCCGCAUGUUCACAUGAUUAAAGGUAUUCAGGUAGACGA